rnacentral:rRNA from 1 species
CCGUUCCUACGGGGGGCAGCAGUGAGGAAUAUUGGUCAAUGGGCGGAAGCCUGAACCAGCCACGUCGCGUGAGGGAAUAAGGCCCUACGGGUCGUAAACCUCUUUUGCCGGGGAGCAAGGGCGGGGACGUGUCCCGGCCCGGAGAGUACCCGGAGAAAAAGCAUCGGCUAACUCCGUGCCAGCAGCCGCGGUAAUACGGAGGAUGCGAGCGUUAUCCGGAUUUAUUGGGUUUAAAGGGCUCGUAGGCGGUUCGUCGCGUCCGGUGUGAAAGUCCAUC